GGCUCUAGUUUAAUUAUCUAGUUAAUCAGCAAGGAAAAGAGUUCUGUUAUCUUUACAUUGUAGUUCCAUUUGAUUAUUGUUGAUUGACGUUUUGGAUAUGCAGGGUCUUAUCGGAUUUCGAGAACGGGACCGUUGGUUGUGAGUCUUAUUGGAAAGGAUAAUCAAAGGGUACAAGAGGCUGCUUUGAAGCUGUCAGGUAGCUUUGAAGGACAAUUUUCCCAGGUUGACGGUUGCAAAUAGGCUGUCAAAGUCUACACACCUCCAUAUUCCUCCCACAUUCUUUCUGCUCGAAGUUCUGAAAUUGUGCAGAUCUAACUGUGCAAUGCGGUGCUCAGAUGCCUUAAACCACCCAGCUACCACUCUGAAGCCCCAGAAAUUGUUUAGGAAACAUACAAAUUUUGUAUUUAGACCCAUUUAGAAAUGAAUUGACAAGUGCAGAUGCUGAGGGCUUCGGCUAGUAACAACUUAACAUGGGUAGCUUUGCCGGCUAUUUUGACAGGGCUAAGAAACACUGUUAUUUUGUGGAAAAUUAAUUGAAGUUGAUUAUAGCACGGCUUUCUUAUUUGAUCCAAGUGUGCAAUGCUUGAUUUGUUUUUUCCUUUCCGCGGUAAUGCUUGAUUUGCUGACGUUUCUGAUGUAUCUUUUCUUUUUUGAAUCUGCCAGCCCGUUAAUUCCUUGUUUUAUGAUUGUGUCAGCGACAACUUACAGCUAAAAUAAAUAGGUAUUCCCUCUAUCCCAAUAUUAUGUACUUCUGUAAUUUUCAUGGAGCUAUGAAAAAUAAUACAAAUAUCUUCGCCUCUUAGGACUGGCUGACUUUGUUGAUGUUGGUCACACAUGUGCUGUCUAGUUGUUUAUAGAGCACCUGAUUUUAUCAUUAGAUUUAGUGGUCUCUUUUCUACAGUUCUUCCAGCAACUGGUUGUAUAUGAACUGAUACUGUGAUACUCUAUUCUCCUUUCUGUAA